rnacentral:rRNA from 1 species
UACGUAGGCAGCGAGCGUUGUUCGGAGUUACUGGGCGUAAAGCGUGCGUAGGCGGUUUUGUAAGUUUGGUGUGAAAUCUCCCGGCUCAACUGGGAGGGUGCGCCGAAAACUGCAAGGCUGGAGUGUGGGAGAGGUAGGCGGAAUUCCUGGUGUAGCGGUGAAAUGCGUAGAUAUCUGGAGGAACACCGGUGGCGAAGGCGGCAUCCUGGACCAACACUGACGCUGAGGAGCGAAAGCCAGGGGAGCAAACGGG